rnacentral:pre_miRNA from 9 species
UCUCGAUAGCGUAAACGUUAUUCAAAGUUGUAUGGAGUUGGAACGUUUGCAUAAAUUUGCCGCUAGGGGCGCUGUUCCAACUGCAUACAAAUUCUAGUUACCUUUUACGCUAUCCA